CCUCCCGCAGCCGCGCUCACCGCUGCCUCGCACCGCCGGAGCCACGGGAAGCCGCCGCAGGUCGCCGGGAGCCUGCCCCUGCCGCGGGUCGCCGCCUCCCCAGCCGCGGGAGCCCGCCCCCGCCGCGGGUCGUAUCUUCCCCAGCCGCCGGAGCUCGCCACCGCCGUGGGUUGCCGCCUCCCUAGCCGCGGGAGCCGCCCCCGCCGCGGGUCGCCGCCUCCCCAGCCGCCGGAGCCGCCCCGCCGCGCCCUUCGUCGCCACUCCGCCGCAGCUUGGGGGCAAUAUCGCGGGAGGGGUCGUGCCAGCGGGCGCUCCGUGAUGGACGCGAGCAUGGGCUGUUGUCACCGCCUGCUGCUCUCCUCCGCUGCACCACGAAUGCGAGCUAGGGUCUCCGUCGUCGUUCCUCCAUGAAGCCGGGAAAGCCAACACCGCCGCAGACGAUGUGGGGCUACCCGCCAGCUCUGGUAGCUUCCAACGAGCAUGUGCUGAUGUGCCUGCUCCGCAACGGUCAUGCCCCGCGCUUGCUGACAAGGUCAUAAAUUGCUUGGAAAAAUGCAACAUCGAUGCUAGAAUCCUGACGAGACUAUGGCCGGUGAUGUAGAUUAUUUUGUAUGCUAAUGGUGCCGUGGCGGCUGCAUGGCGGAGGGUUGCACGCUCGACUUUGACGUCGCCGUCUUCAACAGGGAGAAGAUGUCCCUCGCCGGCCAUGACAAGUAUAUGGUGGCGGGCGGGCGGACCUCUUCGCACUGCUCCUGGAGGCAUCAAGGGUGACAAGCCCUCUAUAAUGAUCGAAUCGGGCUCCCAGUGUUUCUUUGGAACACUGGAUUCCACUACCACGUGCAAUCAUUUAUUAGUUAUUCCAACAGGUCAUGGACUUUCCACGCGCUCAGACAGCAACAUUCUUUAUCCAACGGGUUAAGUGAUUUUAUCCAUCUGAAUAUUGUGUUAUCAUUUGUUUUAAUUCAAGUGAUAUUACGCAUGUAGCUUGCUGGGUAUAUUUUACAAUAGUUACCUUUGGAAAUUUCUUAGAGAUUAUAGAUGGGACAGAGACAACAUUGCAGAUACGUUGCAGCUGGGCACCAUGAUCAUUGCCCCCAUAUCUCCUUUUUAUGUUAUGAAGAUAUACAUGUAGGUUUCCUUUUUGGCAAUUUUUGGAGAUCAUAAAUGAUAUUAAUAUUAGAGAAAAGUAUUAUGGUUGUACUGCAAUUUGCAAGGUUUCUUGUGUCUGUGUGUACAAACAGAUCAAAUCUUAUUGAAGUGACUUUGAUUAAUUUCCUUUUCAAAGUUAUUGUUGGGCCAGCUAUUGACCUCUAUAAAACAUUUAUUUUCACUUCUCUUUUGCUCCCAGGAAAUCUGGUGCAAGCCCCACUACAGUUUUAUAUAAAGAUGUUGGAGGCACCAUCGGAAAGAGACAAGUCUGCGUGAAUCUUGUCCAAACUCCACAUCGCUGUCACUGAACAAAGUUGGAGGUGCAAUUGAAAGAGACCAGCCAAAUUCUUCUUCUGGGCAAAACAAUGUGAUGGAUGGUCUAUAAGAUUAUCUGGUUGAAUUCAUCUCCAGGGUAAAAGAAGUCAGGCAAUGUGCAUGAUGUUUGAUUGGAAAUAAUAUUGCUUUGAAAAUGUACGAAUGCUUUCUUGGCAUCUGACAUUGCAGAAUCAAACAUUGAUGCAUACUUUGUAAAUUCUCUUGGGGAGAAAAAGUAUAAUUUGCAAGUUGCAACAUUGAUCCCAAAAUACAUGGUGUUCACACAUAUCUAUUUUAUGUAGUUUGUGAUAAACCAAAAUGUUGAGUCUU